UUCUCUCCUGCAGCAGUGCUCUGGUAGCCAUCAUUUGCAUCUCAGCUGAUUUCUUCAGCUUUGAAAUCACUUGAAUUCAAGUGCUUUGCUUUGUGGCUUAUUUAGAAACUCCCAGGAUGUCCUUUGCAGGUACUUGGUCUGUCCCUCCUGAACCUACGUAAACUGGAUGCAAACAGCACCUACAUUUCCCUCUGCUCUGUUCAGUGUCUUGCUAAAGCACUGCAUAACAUUUAGAAGAUUGCCAAGUCUGCCUCCAGCCGAGCCUGCUUUGGAAGACCCCUGUGGACCUCAUUUGCACAGGUGCAGCCCCAAGCACAGAGGAAGAUUAACAGCACGUGUACCUUGAGCUCUCAGCCAAGCUCCCUGUCAGAGCUGAGAACUGCAGUGAGACACACUAAAAACUGCAGCAGUUAUUUCAGGCAGGAGAAAGUACAGGAGAGGGCUUGCACACAUUAUGUAUAUAUAUUAUACAUGUAUAUAAGAGACUGAUUGUUAGUGAAAAGACUUAAAGGACUUCAGCAAGCUUUGGAUCAGAUCAUAUUCUGGUUUUUUAACUUUGGGUACAAAGCUUUUGCUAGUACAAGCUACAGAAUAAUAACCAUGACAUAAGAAAAUGUUCCAAAUAGCUUUAAAAAACCCUGCAAACCCAGACUGGGGACCCAAAGUGACAAUGGCUUCUCUGGAUUAUUACAAUGGGAGAUUGAAAUUCUUUAUUGGCAAAAAUCAUAAAAUGUAAUCAGGUGUUUCCAGCAGAAAUGCACACCUGCAAGGCUCCACUGCCAGCUUGUACAGCAGAUGCCCAUGCCAGGGACACCUGCACAUCAUAAAAAGAUGGCAUAAUGCUUCCAGGCACAAGGUUUACCUGGAGAGGAGGUCAUUCAAGGGUGCAGCUAUUUCCCAGAUAAGCACACGGCGUGUUUGUCCUUCAGCCUCGUGCCCUUCUGUGGGUAAGUUACAAAACCAGUGGUGAAGUGAAAGUCACCUUUCUGAUCGACUGAACCUCUUGACCAUUACAGAACAAAAGUAAUUACCUCAGUGACUUCUGUGGGGUUUAAUUCUUUGCACAGAUAUGGAAGAAUUAAGGAAUAUCUAAUUUUAUUCUUGAGGAAAACACCAGUGGAAAUUAUAGACAAACUGAACUUCAGCAAGUGCCAAUCCUAUUUUUCACUGACUUAAUCUGGUGUACCAUGCAAAAGCUUCAAGUAAAUAGUGUAAUUAUAUUGUGUUGCAGAAAAUCAGCUCAGAUGUUUAACUAGUCACUUUGAGGUUAUGAACAUAAUGUUUUUAUUAAAAAAGAAAAAACACCGAUUUAAUGUGAAUUAAAAGGAAAAAUUUAUUAUUUGCAAACUGUGAUGACUUCUAAUUAGAAUGGCACAAUGAGUGCAUAACACACCUUGAUGAGGGCUGGAACUGUCAACAGAAACCUUUAGGAGCUAUUCUGCAAAACACUGUUAAAAUUCAAGAUUUUUCCAAGUGGAAAACAUCACAUGGACACACAUGUAUUUUCCUAUGAUAGUUUGUCUCCCUGGAGUCUUACUAAUGAGUUGUGAUUGCAAGCUGAGUCAUCUUUAGGGCCUAACAUUUCAGUUGGUGUCAAGUAAUUUGUAAAUUGCUUUUGGAAUCAUCCAAUGCAAACAUGAGAAAAAACACGCAGACUGCAUGUCCUUAUUAUUCUUGGUAACUAAAGUGGAAACAUCAUGGAAGAAAACUACUGAUAAGGGAAAUUUAGUUGUUAGAGUAAGAGCUUACUAGAAAAUUCAUGGCAGCAGUUUCAUAAUCUGAAGAUGUAGAUAAUUUUACAUGGGAGGGUAGGUACUGAUUGCCAGGAGGAGGAUGUUUUGUGUGAUUUCCAAAUCAAAGGAAAUAAAGCAGUAUUUUAAUCACCAACACCUUGUAGAACCAAGUAAACAUUCUCAUACUGAGGGGACUUAAUGCAUUAAUAAGUCUGUGACUCAGUGAAUCUCUCAGAUAAUUAUCUACAAUUCUACAUGGCAUUUUGAGGCUUUACUUUGCAGCCUCUAAACUUGGGGCUCUGAGGAUUUUUUUGCAUGCUUAUCCUGUACCAUCAUGAUGAUGGAGGUCUGCGGUGUGCUGAAAUGCAAAAAACAAUGUACUUAAGUAAAAUAAGUAUAAAUAGAAAAUACUAAUA